UUCAGUCAAGGAUCAAGUCUCCUUUAGAUUAAUUUUUAUGCAGUGUUAUUCUAAGUAAAGUUUCCCCUGGGAACAAGUUAGAAUUCUCUACUGCAGACCUACCAAGCAGUUUACAUUUGAACAUCAUUCUUCAGGGAUUCAUGUACGUACUCAGUAUUAAAGUACUGAUAUCUAAUUGUUAUAGAAUGAUAGUUGCUGAGGUCAUUUAAUGGAGAGGAGGGGUACCAUAAUUGUGACUUUCAUUGUGGCUGAUCAUUUCUUAAAGGAGAAAAACUGCUAAACCUGAUUUGUAAACCCAAAUACCAUUAUUUAGAAUAAUAGUUACUGGUGAUAGAAGGCACCAUAAGUUAGUAUAAAUUCUUUUCAUUUUUGUUUAUACAGAAAAUAUUUAUACAAAGAUCAAGAUAGUUAACCAUAAAAAGUUCACAUUUUAACUAUUCGGCCUCCAGAUUUCUGUGCUCAAGUUCCUGCCUUGACUUCCUUCCACAGUGGACUGUCACCUGUAAGCCAAAUAAACCCUUUCCCAGAA